AGUUUUAGUGUUGAUAUACUGGAUGUAGACGUUGCAUCCCAUGUGAAACCAGAAAUUGCGGCAGAAAAUUUCGCCCAUGAACUGGAUUAUGGAAAUGAGGGCAUAGAAAGCUAUGAGACUGCCAAAAAUGAGAUUGAUGUAGCAGGGAAACAGAAAAAGACAAAAAAGAAACGUGUCGGACGGUUUUUCCGUAAAUUAUUCUGUUCCUGCGUGAAGAAAAACAAGGAGUAAUUAGAGGUGACAAGUGACUGUUGGGGAUGAUUUAGGCAGUCUCAGUAACAUUUAUUUGAAGGAAAUCUCGUCGAAGCCAUCGUUUUCGUCAUUUUUCGAGGCAGAUGAAUUUCAUUUCAUAUUCAAAUGAUGUAAAUUUCGAUUUAGGCCUUUUUUGGUUUUUAAUUAAAUAAAAAUGACAAUUUUCGA